AAAGAGAGAGUCGGACACAGGGUCGGCGCCAGAGUGUUAGGGGCGGACGGGCAAUCAGCUUUGACAGGAGGGGCAUUUUUUUCACCUCAUAUAGCCUUUUUUAAGUGUAUCUUUAACAUUAUCAUGUUUCAUGAAAGAAAUAAACUGACAGA